rnacentral:lncRNA from 1 species
GCCUCGUGCUCUUCUUGCCCCUGGAGCGCUGGGGGCAUCCUGAGUCAGGCUGUGAGAAGAUUCGCCACCAGAGGGCGCCCCGGGCCCUGGGUCGUCCAAGGGGACAAGGACGUUCCCGUCUGUGCUUCGGGGUUCCCUGACCCCCCCAUCCUGCAGCCCACCUUCCUGCAGUGUCGUGGCAGGCGACACCGACUCCUAGGCGCCCUCCAGAGCCAAGCAGCUUGCGACUUCUGAGUUGCACGGUCAAUUGGCCCGUGAAGGGGACGCCUACUUUCAAACAAGGCAGACAGGACACGACAGGACGGCGGCUCAUAGCACAGACUUUGGAUUGCAGUGGAUGGGACCAGAUCCUGGCUCCACUUCUCGCUAGCUGUGUGGCCCUGGGCAAGCUGCUUAACCUCUCUGGGCCUCAGUUUCUCCCCCUGUAAACUGGGGGAUGUGAACAGCGCCUGCCUCCGAGUCCUAAGGAUUGGGAGUAGUCGUGUAAAGUGCUCAGGUCCACAGGCCAUCAAUACUAAUAGUUAAAAAUUAU